rnacentral:rRNA from 1 species
ACUCCUACGGGAGGCAGCAGUGGGGAAUAUUGCACAAUGGGGGAAACCCUGAUGCAGCCAUGCCGCGUGUGUGAAGAAGGCCUUCGGGUUGUAAAGCACUUUCAGUAGGGAGGAAGGUAGUGUAGUUAACACCUGCAUUAUUUGACGUUACCUACAGAAGAAGCACCGCUACUCGAUGCCAGCCAGCGCGGGUAAUACGGAGGGUGCGAGCGUUAAUCGGAAUUACUGGGCGUAAAGCGCAUGCAGGCGGCCUGUUAAGUCAGAUGUGAAAGCCCGGGGCUUAACCUCGGAAUUGCAUUUGAAACUGGCAGGCUAGAGUCUUGUAGAGGGGGUGAGAAUUAUCAGGUGUAGCGGUGAAAUGCGUAGAGAUCUGAAGGAAUACCAGUGGCGAAGGCGGCCCCCUCGAG